UGCCAUGUUUCUAGUUUCCCGGUGCUCCC
rnacentral:piRNA from 1 species